UUUAAAUAUGAUGGGAGAGCAAAUCCGCCGAAUUUAAGCAUAUAAUUAAGCGGAAGAAAAGAAAAUAACUAUGAUUCCCUAAGUAACGGCGAGUGAACAGGGAAAAGCUCAAAAAGGAAAAUCCUAUUCAUGCGCAAGUCAUGUUAAGGAAUUGUCUGGUUGGAUUUCAUCCUUUUCUAUAAUUUAUGUUAGGUUGCGAAAUGAGUAGGAAUACUAUUCCAUAGAGGGUGAAAGACCCGUAGCUCUUUGCAUUCUAUAGAAAUGGUGAUUUCUGCAGAGUAGUGUUCUUUGAGAUUGGAGCACAAAUAUGUGUGAUAGAUUUCACAUAAAGCUAAAUAUUUGUAGGAGACCGAUAGUAAACAAGUACCGUGAGGGAAAGAUGAAAUAGUACUCAGGAAUGAGAUUUAAAUAGUACCUGAAAUCGUUAAGAUGGAACGGAUUGAGAGAGAAAUAACGUAAGAUGGGGUAUUUCCCUGCUCUUUAGAGCACGUUUUAAUUCCUAUCUUAUUAAAAGAAGCAUCAGUGAAUUGUUGAAUAAUUAAAAUAUAGUUAAGUAUUCUUUACAAAUAUAAUAUAAUAUAAUAUGUACGUAAAGAUUUCGUAUCACUUCCGCUAAAUUGGUUGGAUAACGAGCUAUUAUUGAUUGUUACGUUUACUGAGGUUAAUAAAAUCUUUAGGGCCUUCGUCCCUAUUGAUUUAAGUUGCUUCUAAAAAGCACUUUCUCAACCCACUCGUCUUGAAACACGGACCAAGGAGUCUAACAAAUGUGCGAGCGUAUAUAUGUUUUUAACUAUAACGAAAUAAAUUUAAACUUUAUGUUCGAUAAUACGCAUAAUUAAUGUAAUUAAUUGGUAGAAUUUUUAGGGGGAACCCUAUUUUGCAUACCAUGCCGGUUGGCAAUUAUGCUAAAUUGAGUAAAAGUAUAUUUGUUAGGACCCGAGAGGCUUUGAACUAAGCGUGGUGAGAUUGAAGUCAGACGAAAGUCUGAUGGAGGAUCGAAUUGAUACUGACGUGCAAAUCGUUCAUUUCAAUCACGUUUAGGGGCGAAAGACUAAUCGAAAAGCCUAUUAGCUGGUUAUUUUCGAAAGAUCUCUCAGGAUCGCUGGAGUUGAUUAAUAUAGUUUUACGAGGUAGAGAUAAUGAUUAGAGGACUCAGGGAAACCAUUUCCUUGACCUAUUCUCAAACUCCCAAUGCGUAAUAAGGGAAUAAUAUCUUCAACUGUAUUUUUUCCACUUUAUAAAUAAAAUAACUCCAAGUGGGCCAUUUUUGGUAAGCAGAACUGGCGAUGAGGGAUGCUCCUAACGCUUGGAUAAGGUGCCUAAAUAUUCGCUCAUGAGAUCCCAUAAAAGGUGUUGGUUCAUAAUGACAGUAGGACGGUGGUCAUGGAAGUCGAAAUCCGCUAAGGAGUGUGUAACAACUUACCUACCGAAUGAACUAGCCCUGAAAAUGGAUGGCGCUAAAGCGGGUUACCGAUACCGAGCCAUAGAAGGAGAUUUAAAGUUUAAUUGAGGUAUUUUAUCCUUAUUAGGCUUUUCUUGAAUCUUUCUAUGAGUAGAAAAUCGUGGGGUUUGUGUCGAAGCAAUAUGCGUGAGCUAUUGUGGAACAUAUCCCUAGUGCAGAUCUUGGUGGAAGUAGCAAUUAUUCAAAUGAGAACUUUGAAGACUGAAGUGGAGAAGGGUUUCUUGUCAACUGUGAUUGUACAAGAGUUAGCCGCUCCUAAGGGAAAGCUGAAAAGCAUUUAAAUGGGGAUUUGGUGUUGCAAGCAAUUGUUGCAUCUUUUCUCUGUCUCAAAAGGGAAACAGGUUAAUAUUCCUGUGCCAAAGUUAUUUAGUUUAUUAAAGUAUAGUUGGUAACAUAAAUUAGAACUCCUUAACAUAGGUUUUACGAUCGAGAUGCGUUAUCUUUGCAUUUUAACUUUAUAGCAGACCUCGGAAUCAAAUUAAUUGGAGAACAGGUUUGUUGAAUUGCAAUUCAGGGUUUUUUUAAGUGCUGGGAUAAUAUAUAAGUCCCCAUUCUAAAAAAUUCGGUUUUGUAGUAAUAGUAAUUCAAUUUAUGGAUUAUUCGAUAUGUAAGAACUAUCCUUGAAAAAAGGGGGGAACAGCGAUUAUAAUGGAGGAUGGAAAUAAUACAAAUUAUAUAUAAUUAUGUAUUUAUCUAUGUAUACGUUAUAUUUGCGCAUUAACAUAAAAUUACUUAUGAGCGUACCCACAACCGCAUCAGGUCUCCUAGGUUAAUAGCCUCUGGUUAAAUAGAAAAAAGUAAGUAA
rnacentral:rRNA from 1 species